AAGUCGUAACAAGGUUUCCGUAGGUGAACCUGCGGAAGGAUCAUUAUUGAUGUUACCAUCAUAAACCACUGUGAACCACCGGGGAAACCCGCAUAUACACACACCUUAAUAGUUAAAGUCCAAAAAGUUAAAAAUCAUAACAACUUUCAACAACGGAUCUCUUGGCUCUC
rnacentral:misc_RNA from 1 species